rnacentral:sRNA from 1 species
UAGAGAUCAAACCAAC